rnacentral:misc_RNA from 1 species
CCGAGUUUACAACUCCCAAACCCCUGUGAACCUUACCUAUCGUUGCCUCGGCGGCCGCCCCCGGGCAGCCGCCAGAGGACCCAAACUCUUGUUUUAUAUGUGGUAUCUUCUGAGUGACACAAGCAAAAUAAAUCA